AGUGAACGCUGGCGGUAGGCCUAACACAUGCAAGUCGAACGGCAGCACAGUAAGAGCUUGCUCUUACGGGUGGCGAGUGGCGGACGGGUGAGGAAUACAUCGGAAUCUACUUUUUCGUGGGGUAUAACGUAGGGAAACUUACGCUAAUACCGCAUACGACCUACGGGUGAAAGCAGGGGAUCUUCGGACCUUGCGCGAUUGAAUGAGCCGAUGUCGGAUUAGCUAGUUGGCGGGGUAAAGGCCCACCAAGGCGACGAUCCGUAGCUGGUCUGAGAGGAUGAUCAGCCACACUGGAACUGAGACACGGUCCAGACUCCUACGGGAGGCAGCAGUGGGGAAUAUUGGACAAUGGGCGCAAGCCUGAUCCAGCCAUACCGCGUGGGUGAAGAAGGCCUUCGGGUUGUAAAGCCCUUUUGUUGGGAAAGAAAAGCAGCAGGUUAAUACCCCGCUGUUCUGACGGUACCCAAAGAAUAAGCACCGGCUAACUUCGU
rnacentral:rRNA from 1 species